rnacentral:rRNA from 1 species
CGAUAACGGCGUCGAGCGGCGGACGGGUGAGUAAUGCCUAGGAAAUUGCCCUGAUGUGGGGGAUAACCAUUGGAAACGAUGGCUAAUACCGCAUGAUGCCUACGGGCCAAAGAGGGGGACCUUCGGGCCUCUCGCGUCAGGAUAUGCCUAGGUGGGAUUAGCUAGUUGGUGAGGUAAGGGCUCACCAAGGCGACGAUCCCUAGCUGGUCUGAGAGGAUGAUCAGCCACACUGGAACUGAGACACGGUCCAGACUCCUACGGGAGGCAGCAGUGGGGAAUAUUGCACAAUGGGCGCAAGCCUGAUGCAGCCAUGCCGCGUGUGUGAAGAAGGCCUUCGGGUUGUAAAGCACUUUCAGUCGUGAGGAAGGUAGUGUAGUUAAUAGCUGCAUUAUUUGACGUUAGCGACAGAAGAAGCACCGGCUAACUCCGUGCCAGCAGCCGCGGUAAUACGGAGGGUGCGAGCGUUAAUCGGAAUUACUGGGCGUAAAGCGCAUGCAGGUGGUUUGUUAAGUCAGAUGUGAAAGCCCGGGGCUCAACCUCGGAAUUGCAUUUGAAACUGGCAGACUAGAGUACUGUAGAGGGGGGUAGAAUUUCAGGUGUAGCGGUGAAAUGCGUAGAGAUCUGAAGGAAUACCGGUGGCGAAGGCGGCCCCCUGGACAGAUACUGACACUCAGAUGCGAAAGCGUGGGGAGCAAACAGGAUUAGAUACCCUGGUAGUCCACGCCGUAAACGAUGUCUACUUGGAGGUUGUGGCCUUGAGCCGUGGCUUUCGGAGCUAACGCGUUAAGUAGACCGCCUGGGGAGUACGGUCGCAAGAUUAAAACUCAAAUGAAUUGACGGGGGGCCCGCACAAGCGGUGGAGCAUGUGGUUUAAUUCGAUGCAACGCGAAGA